UACACAUCCGAAUAGCGAACGGCUGACAUUGAUUGACGACUAGCUCGGUCGAGGGCACCUGUUGAAUAGAAUAACGCGGUAAAAUACGAAAUUAAAGUAUCGGGUUGAAUGAUCUUAUUCGUGACUUAUAGGAAAACCACGUGGGCUCAGGUCCUGUUAAUUGUCGUUUUCUUGCCGCAAUAAUAAUUAACAAUGUGUAAAGACGA